rnacentral:misc_RNA from 1 species
CUCUCUCUCUCUCUCUCUUCCCCUCCCCUCCCCUAAUCCCAACAACAACAACAAACAAAGAAAAUCACCCUCCAAAGUGGCUGUGUUCUGUUUUCAGUAGAGGAAUGAUGAAUCAAUGUGGUGUUUGCUACUGGAUUUACGUGGUAAUUGUUAAUGCGGAAGGAAGGUUGUUGGUUUUCUGUCUAUUAUUGAUCAAUGCAUGGAUUGUGUUGAACGGUAAAGGAGAAACUGCUAAUUAUUCAGUAUUUUAAGAUGCAUGAUUUGGCUCAGAAACAAUUGAACUACCAUAUUUAUACUUUUAAGGAUUAUUUUUUAAAUAGCUUAUCUAACUAGCUCUGAUACAAUAUUCCAGUACCAUUGAUCUUUGGGAUUUCUAUACCAUCUUUCCGCUCUAUCCAUCUGCAGCCGUGCAACCAGACUUUCAAGAAAACACUAGGGCAAGUUGUAUUGGUGACCUUUCCUUGGCACAACACGAAAAUUAGUGAAAGAUGCCAACUUUUAUAUUAAGAUACUUCUGAAUCUUACGUGCUUGAAUUCAGAACUUAAGAUGUACAUUAACCCAUUGCAUUGAUUAAAGCCUCAUGCAAUUUUGUUGCAGCUUCAUCUGAA